GAACCAUACUAUAUAUAUGUGUCGCAUCCUUUCAAGACUACAAAUUUGUGUCGAUAUGCUUUUAGUAGAUUUGUACAUGCUUCUAUUUGUUCCAUUGGCUAAAUACAAGGUGAGGUUACAUUCUAUGCCAUGUUGUUUAGCUUCUAAUUAAAUAGAAAGGUAAAAGAAUCAUAUUUUGAGAAAGCUUUAAUUUUGUUUCUCAUGGCAAACACCUGGUGGUGGUGACAUUGGUAGAUUGCCAACCAAUAUAAACAAUUUAGGUUCAAGAUUGUUUAAUUUUUUUUCUGCUGCUUUGUUUGUCCACAAAAUAUGAAAUUUAUAUGGUAGCUCACUUUAUGCAUUUAUAGUUCACUGUAAAAGUUUCAUGUCUACAAACUAUGUGUAUAUUUGUAGAUCUUUAUUUGUUCAAUUUGUCUUGCUAAGGCUAAAAUAAAUAGCUCCUGUUGUCAACAAUUUCUGGUAAAUUUUUGUUACGCUCCUUAUCUGUAUCUUAUCAUGCUAGUGAAUUUGUAUUGCCAGAUUAUGACUGCAAUUUAAGUUUUUGCAUUUGUUCAGUUCCUAGCUAUAGCUUUCUUUUUUGUGUUGUGCUAAGUAAAUUCUUUUCUGCAUGAAUGUUUUUCAGCAAGUUGCUUGGUUCAAUUUACCUUUCAUGUCCUUGCAUUAUGAUCAGAAUGUGGUUCAUUUUUAUUUAAUGUGGUUCUACUUGCUUGUAAGUCUAUUUGCUGUGUUUAAUUGAUCAAUCAUCAACUUAUGCAUGAUAACCUCUGUUAACCCUUUGUUUAUUAGUAGCACUACUGUUUCCUUCUCCAAAUUAGUUUAAACAAGUUUCAGGUAAAAAAAAUAGUUUUCGAGUGCAGACUCAUUAUUUUUCAUUUUGGUGCAGGUUCACGGCAGAUUUUCCUUUUUGAUAUGGGCUAUCGGAAUAUAACUACCCCUGGAAACUUGUGAAGUUGGCGCACUUUGUCCUUCUUACAACAGAUGGGCACCAUAUUGAAGAUAGGCUUCUGCUCAGAUGGCAAUAUUCAUUUUAAUAUAUUAAGGCAUCUUCAUUUACUUCUUUACCUUCAAGACACAAGGGAUUUAUGAAAUUUAUCUUCUUGUUCCUUGCUUCUUUACAGGACCUAAAUUUGUGCCAACAAGAUAAAAUCAAGGUGUUGCAAUGUCACCUGAAUUUUCAUAUCUAGAGAACAAUACCUGGGAUUUAACCACAAGGUAACAAAAAAUAUGCUAGACCUGUAAUUGAAAAAGAAUAAACAUUAUGUAUCUACUUAUUUGAGAAGUCGAAAAAGACCCCCCCAGCACUUAGUUUAUGGUACAUGUUCUAAUCGGUUUUUGCUAUGCUCUAGCGUUUCGAAUUUGAACAGAGGUAUUGCUCCAGCAUUAAUUAUGUUGUAACACCAGCAUGAAUAUGCUAAAGGCAGAUCCGCAAGAUUUAUUUUAAACAUCUAUUUACUUGCUUUGGAAUAUUGAGGUUGCAAUCCAUAUUUCAGUGAGGUUACACUACACCCUGCUAAGCACCCAAACAUUUGUAUAUGGGACUCGAUUGCUAUAUUACUACACAGUUUCUGAGUUUCUUUUUUUUUGUAUUAGUUCAAGGCCAUGUAUACAUCUCGAUUUUUUUAUAUUGUUAAUCUUUAGCAACGUUGUUAUGCAACAGGAUGAUGUUUCAGGUUUCCAUUCAGAAAAAAAAGCUACAAAAAAGAUCCAGCCAUGUCUAAACCUACAUUGUCUCUUUUACGCUAUGUAUUCCAGACUACUUUUGAAUAGAACAGUUAAUUUAUAUUAUUCACUUUACUUUUUUUUUGUAUAUCAUAAUAUUUUCCUUUAAAUUUUUGGAUAACUGACCAAGAAGAGAAGGUGUCAAAGAAUAGAAUUUUAGCUCAAAUAAAGAUGAUGUUCCAACAUAUUGUCAUAAUACCUAGCCUUUUCCAGUGAUUGCUAAAGCUAACUAAAAUGAAGGCCAAAAAAAACAAUUAAGGGUCUUUUAUGUAGCUAUAAAAUUGGCGACUCUUUACACGGAUACAUAAGAUUAUUCACUUCACUGUUAUGUGGUUGCAAUAUUUGAAAAGGUGAGGCACAUCCCCAAAUAAAUUCUGCAGAUCCAUUCCAUAAAUUGGCAUAGUUUCUUGUUCAACUCCAUGAAGAUAUUAAAUUCUAUCGACAAGUCCCAACCAAAAAUAAAUCAUAAACAUGGAAACGACCGAUGGAACUACUCUUUGGAUAUGAUACGAACCUGUUUCAAGCUAGCUGCUGUAUAUUUCUGAGAAUAGAUAUUAUUUCUGGAACAUAAUUAUUUCCCUACAAAGUUUCAUAAUUUCAUUGUUGCCUCCUUUAAGUAUUUGGAUUACUAACCUCAGUCACUUUUUACGAAAUGUUGUUGGGAUUCUUAGGCAUAUGGUUCACUUUAUACCACUGCUACAAUCAAUAUUCCUGCAAGCACAAGGUUCUUAAAUUAGCAAUCUAGAAGUGCAUAUCCUGCGUUCCUCUCAUUGUUUUGAGUUAAGGCUUUACUUCUUGACAUUUGAUCUACGAUGCCUAAUCAAUGCCUUAUUUGGAAACAUCAUGACUGUACUGCCUUAGUUAACGGGGAGGAAAUUACACAUAAGACUUCAGGUAUGCAUUAUGUUGUAUUUGCAUCAUGACCAGCUCUGUUUUUUAGGAGUUCAGUGCUGUCUCCCUGCAACGCUUUCUAUUUUGGCAUAGUUGUUAUGUUGCUCUAUUUUCUUCCAAAAAGAUGGAUUUGAGCCUAAUCCAAAGUAAGAGAUGGCCAACAUGUGCGCCUGAAUAAAGGAAGCACACAUGCGUAAUGGCUCACUCUCCCUUCCCAUGUGUUUUCUUUCUUCCAGAGGAUUACCAACUUCCGUUCAGUUCCUCUUCUUUUUUAGCUUCAUUCAUAGCUGUGCAUAUAGUCGGGUUGAGUCCGUCCAGAUUUGCUUUUCUGUACACUUCGAUUGCUUUGUGUGAUACAUGCUUUGUGUGAUACAUUCCUUCUACAAGGGACCGCAACUCUUCUGCUUCCUACUAAUAAUUUCUGCUUAUUCACCUUCUUUCUGCCAUGUCUGCCUCCCAAUCCAUGUUACUACAGUGCAUACAUGCUUCGAUUCUUUGCAUCCGCGUUACAUUCAUCGUUUGCAAAAUCUAAUCCCCCCCC